rnacentral:rRNA from 1 species
AUUGAACGCUGGCGGCAUGCUUUACGCAUGCAAGUCGAACGGUAACAGGGAGCUUGCUCCGCUGACGAGUGGCGAACGGGUGAGUAAUGCGUCGGAACGUGCCGAGUAGUGGGGGAUAACGCAGCGAAAGUUGUGCUAAUACCGCAUACGUACUGAGGUAGAAAGUGGGGGACCUUCGGGCCUCACGCUAUUCGAGCGGCCGACGUCUGAUUAGCUAGUAGGUGAGGUAAAGGCUCACCAAGGCGACGAUCAGUAGCGGGUCGGAGAGGAUGAUCCGCCACACUGGGACUGAGACACGGCCCAGACUCCUACGGGAGGCAGCAGUGGGGAAUUUUGGACAAUGGGCGAAAGCCUGAUCCAGCCAUGCCGCGUGUCUGAAGAAGGCCUUCGGGUUGUAAAGGACUUUUGUCGGGGAGGAAAUCCCCAGCGCUAAUACCGCUGGGGGAUGACAGUACCUGAAGAAUAAGCACCGGCUAACUACGUGCCAGCCGCCGCAGUAACAC